AGAGGAUUUUUAGGUAUCAAGAUCUGUGAUAAUUCAGCGACCACCAGGGGGCAACAGGACCUCUGGGUGUCCUGGACAAUCAAGUCCACCCUGUACAAGGGUCUUCCACAAAGUCACAAUUGAGAUGUCAGUCUGCACCGUGAUAAUCUCAAAGCUGAAGGGGAGGAUUUGUUUCCUAAAACACAAGUGACUGUUGUUAGGUGUCAGAAGACCCACUUCCAAGAUCACUCAGCAUGACAGUGGCAACCUCAUUUUUCAUUGUCUGCAAACCGAAUGUCAGUUCCUUGCCACACAGACCUCUUCAUAGGGUUACUCACAACAUACACUUUGUUUACAUCCAGAGCCAGGACCACAAGGAAAAAAGAGUCAGCAAGGCACAAGAAAGAUAAACGUCACCAUCUUUUUGUAAGUUAAUCUCAGAAGUGAUACCUAUACUUUUCUGCCCAUUGCAAGGCAGUCACUAGGUCCCGUCCACACUCAAGAGGAGAAUGAUACACAAGGACUUGAGUACUGGGAUUCAGGAUCAUUGGGGUCAUCUUAGGGGCUGUCACCCAUGAGUCUGAAGAAACAGGCUUUAGACUGGUCCUCCAAGAAUGAUCACCAGAUCCGUGCAGAACUCUUCAACACUGACACUUCUGCACUUAAAACCACCUGUGGAGCGGGUUUCGGAAUGCAUCUCUGGAGCAGCGAUUCUGGAAUCAGGAAGCUGAAAACAAGAACCCUUACUCCCUCAGCUAUCAUUGCUGCCACUGUUCUCACCAAGCAAGAAGCUGAAGAAAAGUCAGUGGAAGACUGCUGCCAAAAACACAAGACAUUUUCAUGGUCUUUCCUGCCAGAAUAUAAAGCCAAAAGAAAGGUGGUAGCUGUGGCUUAACUUUCAACUUCCAAGUCUUAGAUGAUUUCAAGACUUUGAACAACAAAGUCCAUUAAUAUUUCUCAAUGAUAAGAGGCACCAUUAUCAUUUAGAAUUAAAAAAAAAUUUUAUUGAAGAGUAAUGCAUACAAGGAAAACGUACUUAUUAUUAAGUAUACAGCUUGAUUGAUUUUUAUAAAGUGAGUACACUUGCGUAACCAGUAGUGGAAUUUUGAAACAGAGCAUUAAGAACUUCCAGAAAUCCCCCUUCUUGUCAAGUCUCAGUCUCUACUUCCAAUAAAAUGUUUUUCCAUUUUGUGUAGUUUAUGUGACCUGAAUCUGUUAUUAUGUAAUUUGUGUCUGGUGUAGUCGCUUAACCAAUUGAGAGAUUUGUCCAUGUUAUUGAGCAUAGUGCAUGUAGUUGUGGUUUCUCUAUUUUCAUGGUUGUACAGAAUUCCAUUGCAAGAAUAAACCAAAUUGAUUUAUUUAUCCUACUGUUCAUAUACAUUUAGUAAUUCCUUGCUCUUGAAAAUUAUAAAUGAUAUGUUCUAGAAUUCUAAUUUGAUGACCAUAUGCUAAGACUGAAUGUUUGUGCCUUCCAAUAAUUCAGGGUUGAAGCCUAAGUCCCAACAUAUUAGUAUUUGCAAGUGGGAUCUUUGCAGGUAAUUAGGUCAUGAGCAUGGAACCCUGAUGGAUGGAUUUAGUGCUCUUAUGAGAAGAGACAGGAGAGAUGAUCGCUGCCAUGCGAGGAUACAGCUAGAAGAUGGCCAUCUGCAAACCAGGAAAUGAGCCCUCACCAUAAUCCAACCAUGACAGUACCUUGAUUUCAGACUUCCUACCCCCUAGAACUGUGAGAAAUUAAUCUCUGUUGUUUGCCUCAAUGAAUCUAUGGUGUUUUUCCUAUAGAAGCCCAAAGCAAUACACCAUAUAUGUGCAUUUUAUUGGAUGUAUUCUUAGGAGUUGAAAUACUUGUUCACAGAGUUGCAUAUGUAUGUAUAGGUAUAUGUUCAUUGGCCAUUUGGAUAUCAUCAUUUGGGAAGAAUCUGUUCAAAAUUUUUGCCUUUUUAUUUGAGUCAUCUGUUUUUUUCUCAUAAACUGUUAAGAGUUCUUUAUAUCUAGAUAUGCACCAUUUGUCAGAUAUACGUAUCUUGCCACACUUUGUGGUUUGUCUUUUCACUAUGUUAAUGGUAUCUUUUGAUAAAUAUUAAUUUUACUGUAAUCCAGUUUUUUACUGUUUUCUUCUGUGAUUAGUAAUUAUGGUGUACUGCUCAAGAAAUCUUUGCCUAAUCCAAGUGAAAAAGGUAUUUUCUUAGGUUUUCCUCAAAAUCUUUAUCAUUUGUUCCUUCAUAUUUUGAUCUGUAACCCAUGUAAAAUUAAUUUUUGUAUGUGGUGUGAGGUAGAGGUCAAGAUUCAUUUUUUUCCCAUAGAUAUAUCCAAUGAACCCAGCAUAAUUUCUUGGAAAGACUCACUCUUUUGCAUUGCACUACAGUGGUGCUUUGGUCAUAAAUCCAGCAGAUGACAGUAUGUUUGCAAGAUCCUACUAAGUUUUUGAGGAAAUUCUAUUGCCAGAGAAACCAUGGUAGUCAGGAAUCUGGAAUAUUUAUCUACUUGCUUUUGUAUAAGAGGGAAAAUAUGACAUUUAAA
rnacentral:lncRNA from 1 species